UUUAAUGUUCUUUCUGUUUUGUAUCAUAGCCAUCCAUAUAUGGUAGUUGUAGGCGUUCCACAUUGCCAUAUACAGCAGUUCAGUGAGUACUUAAAAUCCUUGCUUUACAAAUGUGUAAAGCCCAGGUAAAAUAAACCAAUGCUAGAGCACACGGUGCACAAUCACGUGGUCUAUGACGUCAUGCUAUAGGUAUCGCGCCAAGCAUUUUUUGUCAAAGCGUUGAUUCAAGAAGAAAAUUCGUCGUAAGUAUUUUGUUACGAAUUUUUGUAAAAUGUCUUUAGUAUGUUGCAAAGCCUUUUAUAGAUGCGUACCUCCGAUCACACAGCAUCUGCCCGUGUCUGCUUUAGUUUGGCUGGAAAACGGGGCAAACUGACCAAAAUCUCAAAAUCGCUCAUGUUAUUGCUCCAAGCUGAUUCCAGAACCGCAUUAAAACCAGCUUUCUCUUGCUAAAGUCUUCAAAUGGCCGUUUUGGUUUGGUACUUUUUGUCUUCAAACAUCCGCUGAUUGAUUAUUUUUCACGUUAAAGGUGUUAUUUUCAGGCAUAAAAAGAUAUGAUAUUGCGGCAAGUUCUAAAAGAUAAAUGCUAUCGCAACAAGUUGAAACUGUUGUGUGCAAUGACGGUGGCUUGAAAGGUUUGUACCGGUUAAAACAAAGGCUUUAAAGCAUGAUAAAUAUGUUUAUGUGUUGAUAUAGAGCGGUAUAUUCGCGAGGCUAUUAUUUUUUAUAUACGCGAUUUUCACUUAAGCACACAUUCAAGACACAAGCGUAAUAAUUAUUUCUUGCUUAACGCACCGCUAAAUAUUCAAAUUUUAAAAAUCUCGAAAAGAUUACCUACGCAAAAUCAACGCAGUUUAUAGCUUUAGUAUUCAAUUUUCAAAUUAGCUUUUUUUCUCAAUCAUAAUAAAUAAGAUGGCUAACGGUGUUUUUUAUUUGCAGAUUCAAACGCAGAAUGGCUGAUGAAGGUAGGACAAACGUGUGCAGCCAGAGUGGCAAUGCUUUCCGCCAGAGGCGAAAUUUGCAUACGCUCGAGAAAAGUCACACAGAAACGUUUCCCUAGGGGUUUCAGCUCUCGAUAGACAUUGAUGAAGAGAGCAUAAGUUCACACUUAAACGUUCACGACAGGAGAGGGAACAAUCCUCGCACUUUCAGUUCUGACAUUUCCGGCUAUCUGGUGAUGACCCGUUACGAACUCACCGAGCACAUGCGCAGUCAUGAAGACAGCUGGAGUCUGCCUGCAUACAAUGUGGUGCAUUGAUUAAGCACAGGCCAUUCCUGAAUCGGGAUAUAAGGCAACGUCGCAGGAAUGUUUGUGUAAUUUAAACCAGUGAAUACUUUGAAAAAUUGAUGAAGACAUGUUGAUCUUAAUUUUUUGUGGUACAUUCUGGUCAUUGUGUCAAAUAGCAUUUUUGGCAUGAUGCAACCCUCGUGCCUCUCUAUUUUUUUGUUCUUAAGCGGCUUUCAAAUUUAAAUAUCUGUUACUAUCAAAGCCAUUGACUUGUAACAUUAAAUAGUUAUUUGCUAUCAAAGUCUACACCAAUGAAACGAUUCCUGCUUCUUUGUUUGAAUUUGACAGAGUUAUGUCCGUUUCAACUAAGAAUGUUUUGGUUAAAGAUUUUGAUAAAGUCAAAUAUCGCUGUUAGUAUCUAAUUUUCUGACUUUUCUGAAUUUUCGGGACAUAAUACAUUAUUUUACAAUCAUUGUUUAUGUAUUAUUAUACAUGAAGUUACAUGUCUUUAAAAAUAAUAAAAUUGAAGCUGACAGUUCU